ACUUUUGCAAUGGUUAAAUAAAUGUUCAGUAAUAUCUUCAAUACAUAGGCUAUAUACUUUUUAAAUUCUAUAGUGUUAAUAUGGCAACUAGAAAAUUCGUCCGCUAACCUACAUAAUGUGUCGUGUUUCAAAUCAAUGCCAGUUGGAACUCCUAAUCAAAUGAUAACAUUAAUUACUGCCAGGUGGUGGUUAAUUAAUUGAAUUAACGAGAUGAGUGCGUUCCUGAUAUGUUCAAGUCUGAAGAGUGGCUUGAUAAGGGUUAGCCUUGGGUGAUCUGUUCUCAUGGCUGUGAGGGAGAGUUGUGUUUGGGAGAAGCUCAUUUUCACCCUUUUUCUCUUUGCUGUUGAUGGACUUAAAGAACCAGGUUAUUCAUGGUGAAUUUCCCUGUGGUGAUUGAGUCUGGAUCUGACUCCAAAUUAUGCAUAACUCCUCUGAAACCCCAAGAGAUUGGUAGGGGGUUUUCCCUCUGCUUUUGUUUCCAGGCUCCUCGGGUAGAUGGAGAUUUGGUGCAGAGGUUGAAGUUCAAGGGGUGGUCGAGGUCGCCUAUCUUUGUGUCUCACUGUCUCAUCGCUUCUCUGGCUACGUGGUGUGCUCCACCUCCAUCACCUCCGGUAAUCCCCUUGGUAGUGUUGGGACUCUUCACUCCAUGGCUACUCCAUUCUGCGCCGCCGCCGUGGGAUGCAGUCCUGACUGUGGGCUUGGUCUCCGUCUGCCCUUCCCUGCUCAAGGCCAUCCCCCCUGGCCGUCACCACCAUCUGCACCAACCUUUUUUCAUGGUUCUCUUCGGCUUUUUAUUGC